AUUGAACGCUGGCGGCAGGCUUAACACAUGCAAGUCGAGCGAGCGGCGGACGGGUGAGUAAUGUAUGGGAAACUGCCUGAUGGAGGGGGAUAACUACUGGAAACGGUAGCUAAUACCGCAUACUAUCAGAUGAGCCCAGAUGGGAUUGGCUAGUAGGUGGGGUAAUGGCUCACCUAGGCGACGAUCCCUAGCUGGUCUGAGAGGAUGACAAGCCACACUGGAAUUGAGACACGGUCCAGACUCCUACGGGAGGCAGCAGUGGGGAAUAUUGCACAAUGGGCGCAAGCCUGAUGCAGCCAUGCCGCGUGUGUGAAGAAGGCCUUAGGGGUGUAAAGUACUUUCAGCGGGGAGGCGUUACUCGCAGAAGAAGCACCGGCUAACUCCGUGCCAGCCGCCGCGGUAAUUC
rnacentral:rRNA from 1 species